CAGCAGCCGCGGUAAUACGAAGGGGGCUAGCGUUGCUCGGAAUUACUGGGCGUAAAGGGAGCGUAGGCGGGUCGUUUAGUCAGAGGUGAAAUCCCGGGGCUCAACCUCGGAACUGCCUUUGAUACUGGCGACCUUGAGUAUGGGAGAGGUGAGUGGAACUCCGAGUGUAGAGGUGAAAUUCGUAGAUAUUCGGAAGAACACCAGUGGCGAAAGCGACUCACUGGCCCAUUACUGACGCUGAGGCUCGAAAGCGUGGGGAGCAAACAGGAUUAGAUACCCCCGUAGUCCCUGUCUCUUAUAC
rnacentral:rRNA from 1 species